UGGGGAAUAUUGCACAAUGGAGGGAACUCUGAUGCAGCGACGCCGCGUGAACGAAGAAGGCUUUCGAGUCGUAAAGUUCUUUUAUAUGGGAAGAUAAUGACGGUACCAUAAGAAGAAGCCCCGGCUAACUACGUGCCAGCAGCCGCGGUAAUACGUAGGGGGCUAGCGUUGUCCGGAAUCACUGGGCGUAAAGGGUUCGCAGGCGGAAAUGCAAGUCAGGUGUAAAAGGCAGUAGCUUAACUACUGUAAGCAUUUGAAACUGCAUAUCUUGAGAAGAGUAGAGGUAAGUGGAAUUUUUAGUGUAGCGGUGAAAUGCGUAGAUAUUAAAAAGAAUACCGGUGGCGAAGGCGACUUACUGGGCUCAUACUGACGCUGAGGAACGAAAGCGUGGGUAGCAAACAGG
rnacentral:rRNA from 1 species